CCUACGGGAGGCUGCAGUAGGGAAUAUUGGUCAAUGGGGGAAACCCUGAGCCAGCAACGCCGCGUGGAGGAUGAAGGUUUUCGGAUUGUAAACUCCUUUUGUUAGAGAUGAUAAUGACGGUAUCUAACGAAUAAGCACCGGCUAACUCCGUGCCAGCAGCCGCGGUAAUACGGAGGGUGCAAGCGUUACUCGGAAUCACUGGGCGUAAAGAGCGCGUAGGCGGGAUAGCAAGUCAGAUGUGAAAUCCUAUGGCUUAACCAUAGAACUGCAUUUGACAAUGUUAUUCUAGAGUAUGGGAGAGGUAGGUGGAAUUCUUGGUGUAGGGGUAAAAUGCGUAGAGAUCAAGAAGAAUACUCAUUGCGAAGGCGGCCUGCUAGAACAUAACUGACGCUGAGGCGCGAAAGCGUGGGGAGCAAACAGGAUUAGAUACCCCUGUAGUC
rnacentral:rRNA from 1 species